rnacentral:lncRNA from 1 species
AUUAACUUAUUAAAAAGUUUCAAAAAUAUAUAUAUAUCUCUAAAAAUGUAAUUAUGUACAUAUAAAAAUGCCAAAUUAUUCUACUUUACACACGCAUCGUAUUAAUUUAAUUACGAGAUUAUAGCAAAAGAAGAAAGUAGAUUGGGAUAUAUAUGAAAAUUAAGUUAAUGAUUGUUAUGAUCAGCAGUGUUAUACUCAAGACAUAUAGUACCAAAACUGCGUCGAGAAUGAAUCGAAGUCACGAGACAAAGUUUACAAAGAUCUAUUAUUUGAUAAAAACAUCAAGAAUAUCAACUUUUAUAACUGUGUGAUGUCAAGAAAAUUGCCAAAUGAACCAAAAAAUGACAUGACAAAAAAAGAUGGAGAUAUUUUAUGUCCUCCAAAAUUUUAAUCUGUCCAUUUGUUUUAUAUAUACACAUAUAAAUAUAUUAUAUAUAUAUAGGAGAUUCCACAUAAAUAAAUGUUGGAAUAAAGCAAUUAUGAAUUAUCAUGCACAGGUAUCGAAGUAUAGUAUAAAACUAGUCAAUUAAUUUAUUUUAUAUUUACCGAAUAUCAGCUUUAAUUUUAAAUAAUAGAAGAUCCUCUUCAACCGACAAUAUACUACAUUAUCGUAUCUGAUUUGUUUUUUUGUUUUUUUUUUCAUUUCUUUUCCUUUUUUUCUUUUUUUUUACUUCAUUAAUAUAUGCAAAAAAAAGCAUAUAAUUUCUGUCCACAAUUUAAUACAUUGAUUGCCUAUUUCUUCUUCAACUAUGAUGAUUAUCAUAAACUAGCAUUACUAAAUUUUAACACAUUUACAAAUCAGAUGAAAAAAAAUGUGUAUUUUAUUAUUUAUAAUAAAUGUACUGGUAAAUUAUUGUUUUAAAUAUUAUCAAUCAGCUCAUUAAUCUUCAUCAGUUUAAAUGUUAAUGAAAACGUAUAACAUUCGCUUGGCAAUCAAUGUGCUAACAAGUGUACAUAAAUAUUUGUUUAAUCGUUAUCAUUUCAAUAAAAUAAUCAAAGAAAUUCGUAGCAAUGAAACUUGCAAUAGUUGCCAAAUUUAAAAGUAAAAAUAAAAGUUGAUUCGUAGUUCCACAAUACAUAAAUAAUAUUAUGUAAUAUAUUGAAAUAUUUUAACUUAACUUAUCAUUCCAAUUUGAAAGAUGAUCUGCGUUAAUAUGAAAAAUUAUUAUCUUAAUACAGUUAUAACUUUCAAAUAUAACAGAAUAAAUAGUUCGCGAUUAGAAAUGACAAAUAUAUACCAAUAUUCACCUUUUUUUUCCUCAUUUAUUUAACUUCAAUAUAAUUAUCAACUGCUAAAUGUUAUUUAUGGAUUUAAGUUAUUAUUAUUGGUUAACUAAAUUUAUACAAAUUCCUUGAAUACAGUACUUUAGUGCCAUAUCUUCCUAAUAUCUGAUCUCAAAUCUGUGAUUUUUAAUUAUACGAACAACAUGCUAGAACAUUUCACAUAGUUUAGCAAUAACUUCUACUUAUAUUGCCAAAUAACUCACUUAUUAUACAAAAA